UCACCUUUUUUUAUUUUUUAAUUUUAUUUUUACACUUCUAUUUCUCUUUCUUUUUUUUCUUUUUCACUUUUUUUUUGUUUUUCUAUUUUUGUCUUUUUUUCGUUUUUUCACUCUUCUAUCUCUAACUUUUAUUUUGAAAAGACAAAUAUAUAUAUAUCACAUAUAGAUAUUCAAAAAAUAUACAAAAUACAUAGCCACAU
rnacentral:lncRNA from 1 species